AUUGAACGCUGGCGGCAGGCCUAACACAUGCAAGUCGAACGAGUGGCGGACGGGAGAGUAAUGAAUGGGAAAGUGCCCGAUGGAGGGGGAUAACUACUGGUAAAGGUAGCUAAUACCGCAUACCAUCGCAUAUGCCGAGAUGGGAUUAGCUAGUAGGUGGGGUAAAGGCUGACCAAGGCGACGAUCCGUAGCUGGUUUGAGAGGAUGACCAGCCACACUGGAACUGAGACACGGUCCAGACUCCUACGGGAGGCAGCAGUGGGGAAUAUUGGACAAUGGGCGCAAGCCUGAUCCAGCCAUGCCGCGUGUGUGAAGAAGGCCUUCGGGUUGUAAAGCACUUUAAGCGGGGAGGCGUUACCCGCAGAAGAAGCACCGGCUAACUCCGUGCCAGCAGCCGCGGUAAUUC
rnacentral:rRNA from 1 species